rnacentral:rRNA from 1 species
AUUGAACGCUGGCGGCAUGCCUUACACAUGCAAGUCGAACGGCAGCACGGGUGCUUGCACCUGGUGGCGAGUGGCGAACGGGUGAGUAAUACAUCGGAACAUGUCCUGUAGUGGGGGAUAGCCCGGCGAAAGCCGGAUUAAUACCGCAUACGAUCUACGGAUGAAAGCGGGGGACCUUCGGGCCUCGCGCUAUAGGGUUGGCCGAUGGCUGAUUAGCUAGUUGGUGGGGUAAAGGCCUACCAAGGCGGCGAUCCGUAGCUGGUCUGAGAGGACGACCAGCCAAAUGGGAACGGGGACAGGGCCAAGACGCCUACGGGAGGCAGCAGUGGGGAAUUUUGGACAAUGGGCGAAAGCCUGAUCCAGCAAUGCCGCGUGUGUGAAGAAGGCCUUCGGGUUGUAAAGCACUUUUGUCCGGAAAGAAAUCCUUGGCCCUAAUACGGUCGGGGGAUGACGGUACCGGAAGAAUAAGCACCGGCUAACUACGUG